GGCUGUUGAAUGUUGAAAGCAACUUAUUUGGUUACUGGAUAAAGCUGUCUGAACUUUGGAAAUAAUGAGUAGUUACAGAUAAGAUGGAUUCUCCUAUCAAUUUAAUUGAAAAAAAUUGCAAUGAAACCACAAGGAGUCACAAGCAGCUGGGCCAACAAGGUUGCAAGAUACUCCGGUACUUCAGCAGCAUUUCCCACAAGCAUGAGGAUGUGGGCGUCAUUGGCUAGACCAACAUGUAUUGCACACCCCUAAUUGCCCAGAGACAACCCACUAAGACCAGAACUCCCUUCCGAACAGCUCACUGUGUGGAUCUAAACCUGAUGAAUUCUACUGGCUUAAAAUGGUCGCAGCCCAUCAUCACCUUACGAAGGGUAGCUAGAAAUAUGUCAUAAACAAUGGCCGUGCUAACAAUACUCAUAUGGUUAUCCUGAACUAACAAGAAAAAUGGACUUCCAGUUUGGUCUGGCCUUGACUUCUGGGUUCUUAGCGAAGAAAGAGGACUGCUUUCAAUUUACCUUCACUGCAGUUU